GGAGAGGUGACCGAGCGGCUAAGGAGCUCGCCUGGAAAGCGAGUAGGGUGUAACAGCCUCGCGGGUUCGAUUCCCGUCCUCUCCUCCA
rnacentral:tRNA from 1 species